AUUGAACGCUGGCGGCAGGCUUAACACAUGCAAGUCGAGCGGAGAUGAGGUGCUUGCACCUUAUCUUAGCGGCGGACGGGUGAGUAAUGCUUAGGAAUCUGCCUAUUAGUGGGGGACAACAUUCCGAAAGGAAUGCUAAUACCGCAUACGUCCUACGGGAGAAAGCAGGGGAUCUUCGGACCUUGCGCUAAUAGAUGAGCCUAAGUCGGAUUAGCUAGUUGGUGGGGUAAAGGCCUACCAAGGCGACGAUCUGUAGCGGGUCUGAGAGGAUGAUCCGCCACACUGGGACUGAGACACGGCCCAGACUCCUACGGGAGGCAGCAGUGGGGAAUAUUGGACAAUGGGGGGAACCCUGAUCCAGCCAUGCCGCGUGUGUGAAGAAGGCCUUAUGGUUGAAAGCACUUUAAGCGAGGAGGAGGCUACUGAGACUAAUACUCUUGGAUAGUGGACGUUACACGCAGAAUAAGCACCGGCUAACUCCGUGCCAGCCGCCGCCGUAA
rnacentral:rRNA from 1 species